GUAAAAGCGAUGACGGUGUUAAGAACUAUAAUUGGUUCUUAGUAGAUGAUCGGUUUCCUUUAGAGAGUAGGUGUCUUAGGCUGUGAACACCUAUAGGUUCAGCCGAUGAUUGAACUUCCCACUUGAGCUGCAUGUCUGAAAAGAGUAGGACAUGCCGUUAACGCACGUUAAGCGUCCAAAGUGCCUGCUACUGCAGGAAUUAGGGUGGUACCGCCGAUGAAAUCGGUCCCUUGU
rnacentral:ncRNA from 1 species